CCUACGGGGUGCAGCAGUGAGGAAUAUUGGUCAAUGGGCUUACGCCUGAACCAGCCAAGUCGCGUGAGGGAAGACUGCCCUAUGGUUUGUAACCCUCUUUUUUCAGGGAGCAAUUGACGCUACUUGUUGCGUUAUCGAGCGUACCUGAAGAAAACGCAUCGGCUAACUCCGUGCCAGCAGCCGCGGUAAUACCGAGGAUGCGAGGGUUAUCCGGAUUUAUUGGGGUUAAAGGGUGCGUAGGCGGAAUGCCAAGUCAGCGGUAAAAUCGCGGGGCUCAACCUCGCUCCGCCUUUGAAACUGGAGUUCUUGAGUGGGGGAGAAGUAUGCGGAAUGCGGGGUGUAGCGGUGAAAUGCAUAGAUAUCACGCAGAACACCGAUUGCGAAGGCAGCAUACCGGCGCCCAACUGACGCUGAAGCACGAAAGCGUGGGUAUCGAACAGGAUUAGAUACCCGGGUAGUC
rnacentral:rRNA from 1 species